rnacentral:SRP_RNA from 1 species
ACUGGGUGUGUUUGGCAUAUACCUGUAAUCCCUGAAACUCACGAGGCCAAGCCUGGUGGAUUUCUUGUUUGGGAGUUCUGAAGUGCAGUAGGGCUAAUGCCAAUCAGGUGUCUACACUAAAUAUGUCAUUGAUAUGCUGAACCCCUGGAAGCGGGGGACAACAGUUUACCUAAGGAGGGUUAAAUAGGCCCAGGUUGGAAUUGGAGCAGUUCAAAACUUCCAUGAUGAUCAGAAUGGUAUCUGUCUGGCCCGUGACUAGUCACUGCACUUUCAGCCAGGGAAAGACAGAGGAAUCCACU